UAUUCAAGGCGCUUUUGGUGUAUGGAAAGGUCGUUUUAAACGUUUAGAAAAGUGCUUACAAGUAUCAUUGCGACAUACAACCAGAAUUGUUGCUGCUACAGCGGUGGUUCUUAAUAUUUCCAUUGACACCAGCCAGAAGAUCGAUGAAAGUAUAACUAUGGAGGAAACUGAAAGGCAGUCCGCAGUCCGAAGCGCCAAAUAUGACAAUCAGCGUUGCUUUCAUUCACGACAUUUUAGCAGAUCAAGAUUUCAUAUUGUAUUAAAACCCCAAUUUUUUCUAAAUUUGUUGAUUUAUGGCAAUUGAUAUACGAACAUUCUGCCAUUCUGAAAUUGUUUCGCAGAAUUCUACAUGAAACUGCGCUUAGCACUCAUGUUGUUAUACAUAAUUAAUAAACAUGUAUGAUAAACGUAAUUUUUCCUUCAAACAUCCAUAACAAAACUAGUGAUAAUAAAAGCUGAACUGAGGCACAGAACAUACCCCCUAUUUUGUGGGGGGGAUAUUUUGUGAACUGAGGUUAUGGAACCGGAAUGAAGUUAUUCACUUAUGAGAACAUAACAUAAGUCCGACUUAAGAUUCAAUAAGUUGCACCAUCCGUUUUCCACGUGUUCUUAGCUAAGCAUCAGGCAAUACCCGGCAACUCUAUUUUUCGUUCUGUUCUGUACGUCCUGGUUGGUUCACAUCUGUUGUUUCUAACCAAAUUCGUGAUCUUUUUUAAAUUUUGUUUUACUAAUGGCUGCAAAACAGAAACGGUCUCCUAACUUCAGCGCUUCUGAAAGAGAUACUCUUUUAGAGCUCGUCGCAAAGAUGUAAUCGAAAAUAAAAAAACAGAUGCAGUGUCUACGCAGGAAAAGCAGUCCACAUGGGAAAAAAUAACUGGCGAAUUUAAUGCUAUUUGUCCAGCAACAAUUCCGCGUACAACCGCAACAAUCAGGAAAUUUUAUAACAAUCAAAAAGAAGACAUCCGGAAGCACAUUGCCAAUCAGAAGAAGGAACUUUAUCAAACUGGUGGCGGAGGAGUUGUGUCUUCGGUUCAAAGGAGCAAUGCAGAUAGAAUAUUAUUAUCUAUUGUUAAUAAUAAGACUUUGUAUGGCGUGGAUAAUUCGCUUGCUCCUUUUGAUGAUGAUUGGGUACCGAAAAACGAAAUUCCACCAUCUCUCAUUGCAUACAUACCAGGUCCUUCUAGAAGUGAGCCUAUUAAUAUGUCUUUUUCCCAAUUAAUCAGAAAGGGCGUUGAUGAAACGCUGAAAUUCAAAUUUCAUGAGAAUCAAGAGGAAUGCAGUACAAUAGACAAUAUUGAACUAGUUUAUGAGAAAGAUGACAAUAUUGAAAAUGCACUUCCUGUAAAUGAGGUCCCUUCACCGUUUUCGCCCUACAGCAAACCCUACAGCAAACCCUAAAAUGGCACUGAAAAGACAUAUAGAAAGCAGGGUAGCGAACCAAGUGCCAAACGUAAACUGGACAAUUCACGACGAAGACCAGUUGUCAUAAAAACUUUGACAACGUCAUCACUUGCAGAAAAGU
rnacentral:lncRNA from 1 species